rnacentral:tRNA from 1 species
AAGGAUUUAAGUUAAAAAUUCAAACUAGUAACCUUCAAAGUUAUCAAUAGAAAUAGAAGUAAUCUAAGCCUUA